AUGAGAUUUCACAGCAGCGGUGGAGGAAAGAAAGCCAUACUGGUUUGGAAACACGUGAGGACCGAUUGUUUCGCUUCAUAAGACCUCAUUAUGUCAUGAGGAAACUAUAGAUCGAUGACAAGAGGACUCUCUCUCACAAUUAUUCAGAUCAUCUGAAGACUCUGACAUUCACUUAUUAUUUACCACAUCAACAACACUUCACACCGAUGAGACGAUAGACUAUAGAUGAAUCACUUUCAUCAUCACAUUCACCACAAGCUGAAGAAGAUCUCACGGCUUCCGUCUUAUAUAAGGUGCUCUGGACAUAAACACAGGAUGUAUGUGAAUAUAAGCCCAUCGAAGCGCUGGAUCUGGUGGAGGAUAAUGGUGUGCAUUGGCACAGCUGUGUGUAACAGCCCCACCAGCGCUCCGCUCUUUUAUCUGCUUCUGUAAUGUGCACAGGUGCUGCUUAAUUCAAUUGGAAAAUGUUGCCAUGGUUUUACAUUAAUAUGUUUCUAUGUUGCUGGCGCAUCGGUUGUCAUGGAGAUGAUGGGAGUUAUUUAAGCUGAAACCUCAGCUUUGGUUGGAAGGAGAGGGAGAAGAAAACAUGAGAGAAAAGAAGAGAGAGAAGUCUGUGUGUUUUCAUCUCAUUAGAUUUAGAUUUGUAUUUUAACCCACAGUGAAAUAAAGAAUUGCUAC